rnacentral:rRNA from 1 species
UAAGGAAUAUUGGUCAAUGGACGCAAGUCUGAACCAGCCAUGCCGCGUGGAGGAUGAAGGUCCUCUGGAUUGUAAACUUCUUUUAUCUGGGACGAAACACUUCUUUUCUAAGAGGCCUGACGGUACCAGAUGAAUAAGCACCGGCUAACUCCGUGCCAGCAGCCGCGGUAAUACGGAGGGUGCGAGCGUUAUCCGGAUUUACUGGGUUUAAAGGGUGCGUAGGUGGGCUUAUAAGUCAGUGGUGAAAUCUCCGAGCUUAACUUGGAAACUGCCGUUGAUACUAUAGGUCUUGAAUUAUCUGGAGGUAAGCGGAAUAUGUCAUGUAGCGGUGAAAUGCUUAGAUAUGACAUAGAACACCAAUUGCGAAGGCAGCUUACUACAUAUAAAUUGACGCUGAGGCACGAAAGCGUGGGGAUCAAACA